rnacentral:lncRNA from 1 species
CAAGAUACAGAGUUGGGGAAUUGUUCCAUCUAAGCCCUCACCUUGUUUUCAGCAAAGAGGGUGCUUCUCUUCUGGUUCAGGAGUGCAGGGCAGUACCUUCAAAGCCCGUGAAGUGGGCAGAGGCAGCACUGUCUGGCAUGGCCACACAACACUCUGAGCCCAGUGGGAAGGCUGGUGCAAGGCUGGCAGGCAGAGAGGCCAGUGGGGCACCAGCAGCCUGGGAGGCUCCUUUCCUCCCUCCCUGCCCUGACAUGCAGAGUCCAAGGGUGCCUGCAGGUGUGACUGCUGUGAAAGACAAGAACCUGAUUUCUAAACAGUCAGCUUUGCUUUUGACUUUACUAUAGAUACAACUGGAGUUUUUGAAAUGAUCUUUCCAAAGCAUAAAAAAGUGCAUUUUAAAUGUUCUGAUUAGAUAAUGAGUAGUCCUUUUCUGAACGAAAAAGAAAUCCAGGUUAACGUCUUGCAGAACAGUUUAUAUGGAACACUGACAGCAAAAGCUGUUUCUUGAAAAGAAGAAAAUGAGUACAUUUACUUGAUGCAGGGUGUUAUAGCUGAGUCAAGAAGAGGCAUAAUCUUUUCUGUUUACCACUUAUUUCUCUAUGUAUUUAUUCUGUUAACAUUGAAGUCAAGCACAAUAUUUUUUUUCUUUAUAAAUGUCUUGAGAAUAUCACCUGUGUUAGGCAGCUUAUUAAACAUUUGCUGCUCAAAACACACAGGUUUAGAGAUCUACCUUAGAUAUUUAUAUAAAUACAGGCAAAUGACUUUAAGGUCAUUCUCACCAACCAUAUUUAAUUGAAAAAGAAGGCUGAUAAAUUGUUUUCUGUGGCAAGACAGCUCAAAUGGAAAAUCAGAUUUUAAGUGAAGAGAUCUGUUUAUGUGAUAUCUUUCCUAACUUUCCCCAAUUAAUAUUUUUAAAGAAGUGAGCAGCUGAAAAAGUUGUAAAACCAUAAUUUUUUAUUACUUCACUUUACCUAGGAAAGUCCUUAAGCAUUUACAACUCAUAAAAGAAAAAGUAUCACCACUGGUUUGUUUAGGGGACCAUAAGGUAAGAAGAUCUCACAGCAUUUCUGCAUGUCAGAAUUUACAUAAUUUCCAAAACAUUAUUGAUCACCAGCAGAUAUUUGCUGUGUGUUUUAUGUGAUCUAGCCAGACAUACAUUUUUAUUUUAGAAAUUACUUAAAUUAUUUCUAAAUUGUCUCCACUGAUCCUAUUGUUGAAAACAAUUCCAAGAGUUUCAGAAAUGCUGUAUUCAUAUGAUAUGUGUAACUUUUUAGUUUGAGAGUAAAAAAACGCACCCUAAAAUGCUUGAAGUGGAGCUAUUGAUUGCUUUCAGAAAAUACUACUAUGACCCUAUAUGUGUUCCCUUAUGGGUUUUAUUAUGAUAACAGAAUUUCACUGGAUGACAGACUGGGUCAGAUUGCAAAGUACAAAGGUGAGAUUCCAGAGGGAAAAGUAUGCUUACCAACUUGUUAUCUUUUCAUACACAUUUGAAAGUUAACUUACUGGAUAAAAAAAAGCAAACCUUUUGACCACUCUCUACUGAGAACAGCAACAGUGUCCUGUGGAGCUUGAUGAAUAGUGAAGUAAAUUUUUUAAACAUAGGAUUUAGUGGUUAUAAAAUUUUAAACAAUCUGGGUGGCUCAGACAUCAAAAUCUGAUUUUCAAAGUGAUUUGGACAUUUGGUCCAUCAAGUGCUACAAUGAGUAGAUUCAAAAGACUCUCCCCAGGCAUCAGACUCCCUACAAUGUGUAAGGAGCAUCAGAUGCCUCUGAACAGACCCAAACAGCAGUUGACUGAAUAGACUGAAUGGGCCAUGUCCAGCAGACAGCAAUUAGAGAAUAUUUUGGUCUCUCAGAACAGCAGAGAAUCACAAUCCUUUUUUACAAGUCAGUUACAGAAACUUCCCCUGAAUCAAUAUGCUUGAAUGUUUUCAUUACAGAAAACCAGUCAAGGCCACUUUUUAGAGGAUUGCUACCAGAAGAAGAGGGAGUAAUACUGUAAUCUUUACACAAAGUGGAUUAGUCACAGAAUAUUCCAAAUGCAAUUUCUUUUUGCCAUAAUAGAUUUAUAUCUAUAUUUCUAUUUCCCAUAGAAGUUAUUCUAACCAUUAAUCUCAGGCUGAGAGUUGUGCUGUGGUUUGUGCUUCCCAUGAAAAUAUUUUCACCAUGCAGAAAAUAAUUAAGGAUACCUUGGCUCAGUGAGACACAUCUAGAAGUUUGAGAACUCAUGUGGAAAGAACAUUUUUUAUUUUAAAAAUAAUUAUGGUUCAUAAUAAAUAAAUAAAUCUUGGCAGAAGAGCUGAAUGGUAGCUUUUUCCAUUCCAACUAAAUGCCCGGGUUACCACAUUACUUUUUUACAUGUCAUUCACUUUCCCAAGAGAAGACUGUCUCCAUACAAACUUAGUCAACUUCAAAAGGAGAGGCUGAGGACACGCACAAUGUUUAGGAUACCAAUAAAAUGAGGAGUUAUGGAUUUGAAUCUCUCUGCCAAAGGGAGAGAGUCCUGGCUGACUAGUACUUUAAUACCAGUGAGAAACUACCUUUAUUUUAUGUUCAGUCUGACCUGUUGAAAUGCUCUUAACAGCACUCAUCAGAUCACAUCUUUCACUUAACAUGGAUGGGGAUAGACCUUCUAUAUUCAUGUACCCUUUGAGAUGGCCAGUAUUAAAAUGCUGUUGAGUUUGCCCCAAGGCAGACCAGUAUAUAGCUGGGGUACUCUCAUGAGGAAAACAUGACUAGAGAUGAGGUUUCAGCAGAGUAAUCCUUUGCCUUCAUACUAGUGAUUUAAGACCCUCUGUGGAGUUAGUAGUUUGAUAUUCUAAUGGCUCUUACUUAGUUUUUCAUAUAAUUAUGGAAUGGUUUGAGUGGGAAGAGACCUUAAGGAUCAUUUAAUUCCAACUCCCUUACCGUGGGCAGGGAACCUUUCACUAAGCCAGGUUGCUCAAAGCCCCAUUCAAGCUGGUCUUUAACACUUGCAAAGGAUGGGCACCCACAUCUUCUCUGAGCAACCUGCUCCAAUGCUUCGUCACCCUCAUAGUUUUUAAAAGUUUUAUUUCUUUUGAGUCUAGGAUUUGCUAAAUAGUAUUUAUUUUACCAAUCUGCAUUGUUAUUUAUUCUAUUUUUAUGCAACAUCAGCAUAAGUAGCUAGCAAAUCAAAAUACUAACUUACCAGCAUUUCAAUGUGUGUUAAUAUUGCAAAUUAAGGAGUGUAAUUAAAAAUAAUGAAUUCAAUUGAUGUUAAUGACUCAAUAUCUUGUAUUAACUAUGGCCUGUUUAAUGUACAUCAGGCCAAGUUAAAUGUUUUUAUGAGAUCUUUUUUUUCUGCUUAUCUUAGUUUUGAGUAUACAUAUUCCAGGAAUGUAAAUUACUCAGCCUACCUUUACAUUUUUAAUAGAAUCUUUCUAGUUUGUAAAUUAGAGUUGAUAUUAGGCUUUUGCAAUGUGAAUCAUCAUAGCACUCAUAAUCUGCCCAUUAGCUAACCUGAGGCAACUGAAUACCUUGGUUUACAACAAAUAUGAGUUCAAGUCAUAAAUCAACACAGAUCAGCUUCUUUAAGGCUGUUUGAGAGUACAUAUAGGAUAGUGAUAACUUGGCUGAUGUGGGAGUGAUUUUUAAAUUUAUUGUAACUUAAUCAAGUGUUCACUUCUCAGGUUGCACAAUGAUCGAGGUAUUGUACUUAUCCCCUUAUCUUGUGCUAAGUGCCAUCCAUAUUUAGUAACAGUAUUAUUAACAAGAGCAACAUAUCAUUAUUGCACAUGCAGUAGCUUAGCUCUUUGUAUUUUAUUUCUUUGCUGAAGUUAUUUCAAGGCAGGGAGGCAGAUUUCUGUGGGCACACUGCAAUAAUGCACACUAUUUUCACACAGCCUUGUGGAAGCCUGGCAAGGGAUGCCACACUUCUAUGGCAUGACCCACAGCAGAGAAAGAAAAAGUGUUAGCCAAAAUGUACAGUGGAAGUUUCUAAAGCACAAUAAGCUAUCCUAUGAUUUUAGCAGGAAUAUAUUUGAAAAUCCUUUCAAAAAUGCAAGAUUUUUUUUUUCCUUCACAUUAUAAUUCUUAGCGCCAGUUGCUACACUACCUUAUACUGGAAAGACAGCUGUUAUCGCACUGAUUUAAAUUUUCUGGGCCCAGCCUUUCUUCUAUGAGAAAAAGAAUUGUUGCUUCAUUUCCAGUUUCCCCUCUCCAGCCAAAGAAAAAAUAGCUGUGAGGAGCAUGGCUGUGGUCAGCACUGUGAAGAUCUGUAUGCUCACUGCUAUUUACUUUGUUGUAUUUGUGAUUGCUGACCAUACAGGUCUUGCCAAGAAGUGACUUAUAGUAUAUUGAGUACAUUAAUAUCUAAAAGCUAGCCCUCCAGCUUCUAGGGCCAGGAGAAAUGGUAGAGAUAGUAACUUAACCAAACACUCCAGUUAAGCACACUGUACUACCAUCUGAUUGUCUUUUAUGCUUCUCUUGUAUUAACCCUUCAGUCACUCUGAAAAGUACAUUUGAACCGAGUGAGAUGAUUUUGACAAUUAGAACAAUAAUGUAGAAAAUCUAAGACUUCCAGGAUGAAAAGUAGCACAUAGUAUUCAUGCGCUACUUUUAUCCCAUCUCUUAAAAGAAAUCAGAAAUGAUUGUGUCUUUUUUUGUCCAUUAUCAUCUGUCCAUUAUCAGUCUGCUUUUGAUUUUUCUGCACUUACAUGUAACACAUGCAAUAAUUAUUAUUGCCAACAAUUUAUAGCAACAACUGUUGUUAUUGUGACAGAUUUUAUUCUAUGUGGAUCUUGUUUAAUAUUCCUUUUUAACAGCACUGAUCAUAAGGAAUUCAGCCAGUAUUCAUUCUAAUAGCAAUGAUCAUAAAGAAUUCAUUUGCUAUUCAUAUGGAUGUUACAGGUGUUUCCAUAGGACUUAGCUAACUGCAAUUUCAGGAUAUUUCAAUGAAUACUUACAAAAAGUUUGGUUUUGAUAGAAUCUCCUACAACUUCCCAACUGGCUGACUAAAGUUUGGCUAUAUGGAAGCAGAGGUCAAAAGAUCUUUAAGAAUAAUAGGUUUUAUUUUACCUGACAUUUUCUAGUAACCAGAUUUUGAAGCCUGUGUGUUUAGCAAUUGAUCAGCCAUGGAGCUUCAUGUAGGUGAGAUCCAUUUUCAGACAUAGUCUUCAUGCUUCUGCUUCAUGCUUCUGCAGAGACUCAAAAAUUAGAAAUAUUUUUGGCAUCAUUUGCAAUGGCAGAACAGGAUACUUGCAAGAAAAUGUAAGGCUAAAUUGUGCAAAGGGGAAGAAAAGGUAUAUUUCUGACUCAUAGUGAUUCAGAAAAUACUAAAAUUGUGUGGAUUAAACACAUUUAUAAUCAGACUAUUAACAAAAAGAUUCGCAGCUGCAUUAAUAAGUCAUAUUUCAUUAUUCUAACAUAAAAGAUACCUGGUAUGAGGCAUAAAUAUGUGUAAUAACGUGUUCUGCCUAUAUAUUAUGAACAGCAGUUCUUUUAAUAUUAAACGUGAAUCCAUAUGGGUUAUUUGACAUGUAAAAUAUUAACUUUUAUAGCAAGAAUGCAAAUGAGAGUCUCAGCACUAAUUAUAGCUGCAGAUCCCACUCAGGAAUGAGGCUCUGUGUGACUAAUGAUUUCAGCAAAAUGGAGAAAUGGCCUGCUUCCCUCAAGAGGCAGCAUAUCUUAGCUCCCUCUCCUCCCUCUGGAACCCUUCAAAAUUCUCAGCAUGUCUCAGCACAGUGCCUAAUGUAUGUGCUGCUUCCAGGAACUGGCUCCUACAAACAGGUCACCAGCUUCAUGCUUUUAUAGAUAGUUUUAUAUAACUGUCUCUAGAGAUGAGAAAAAGUUAUUUCAUAUUUAUCCAGAAAAUUGUAAUUGCAGAAGAUAGUUUUAUUUUGAUUGGGCGUUCCAAAUAUCUCAUUUCUAUUUCUUCCAUAAAUGAGACAAACAUACUGGGUUUUGAUGUAGGAUGGUCUGUUUGGUCUGCCAUGAAUUUUUCACGGUAUUUUUCUUUUGUUAGCUUUUUUGCACAGAAUAAUAGGAUGUUCUUUUUAAAAAAAAAAACCCUACAAAAUCUAGCUUUUGUCAUUAUUCUUUGCUUUCCAUGUGCAAUCCUCUGAUAAACAUGUAUCUGGCUGAGAUGACUGCAGUGACUCUUACCCAAGCCUAUCAUUGUUAUUCCUGAAAUGGCCAGAGGGUUCACUGAAAAGUAAAAAGGAACUGUUAAUUCUUGUCAAAAAAGUAUAUUAUUUUAUGGCAUGUUCCUGUGAGAAAAUUGUUGUUACCUGAGCUACUUACUGCUUUUCUGUAUGUACAAGCAUGAGACUGUACUCAGCUGGAGUAAUCUCUAAUGUGUUCAUAUUUUUCUCAAUUUUAUUAUCCUUUAUUAAAGAAAAUUUUAAGAGAAAGCAUACCUAGGAAAUAUGCUGUUAGAAAUAAGAUGAAUAAACAAUUAUUGAAUAGUAUCAUAGGUGGUUUAAACUAUUAUAUAAUUAUCUUUUAAUAACAACACUCACAUGCAAUUCAACUGGAUUAUUAUUACUCUUGUGACUUAUUGCCAAUCUGUAGUGGAAAGGAUGUAGUUUUACUAAAAUUUAAUGAAGGAGUUUUUAAUCCAAGUUUCUUUGAUCUAGUAAUAAAUUCUCUUUUUUUCAGUGCUGCUAGCCAAUGUCUCUGAAGUUAAGCAAUGUCUUCUGCAAACAUUGAGGAUAGCAAGAUUGCAGAUGUCAUAAAAGGGCAUUACGGUGGAUAUAAUUCAAAUUUCAAAUGAUGCUGAAUUAGUAAUACUCCUGCUUAAUGAGAUACAAGUGAGAAAGUGUCAGUAUUUCUGAGGUACCCACAUUAUUAUACAAUAGAAAAGUAAAAAUAGUGUCUAAAUUCAGUUACUCUGGAAAAAAAUUGGUAAUUUUUAAAAUGUGAACCUCAUUUCUAAUAAGUGUUUUGCUGUACAUUAUUGGAAACACUCUUGUGAUGUGUAGAACAACUGGCAGGAGGAGUUUUUUAUGAGAAAAUUACUAAAUCAGCUUCCAGGCAGUCUUAAUAAAUCACUGUGUGAUUAGUGCAAUUUUCUAGACUUCAUCAAGGUGCAUCUACUGUAGCUGCACAAAUACGUGUGGCAAUUUCACUACCAACAAUGGUCUUGGCAAACAACUGAAUUCCGAUUCUGUGCAUACAAUUUGGCUAGAUAAUUACAUUUUUUGCUUCUAAUAUAAUUUUCCUAAUUCACUUGAUUUUUAUUUUUCCUGUUACAUUAAGCACCUUAAAAACUAAGGUUAGGGAAUGGAUUGUUUAAUCUAAAUGAAAUUAUAUGCAUCUAAAACAUUAGUUCAUUUAAGCAGGAUAAAAUUCAGUGGAUUAUCUUUUCCUGUGAUUUUCUUUUUUGUUGCUGCUGCUCUAAGGUGAGGUAUUCCAAGCUCCACUAAGAGAGAUAGUCAAGUUCUUCUUGCUUCUCCUGUCACUGACAGUGGGGUUAGGAACAGAUGAAAGGAAUUUAAUAAGGGAUGUUUUCCUAUUUUUAUAUAUCGCUAAGCAUGUUGCAGGUUUGGCACAAUACUCGAUAUUCAAUAUUAAUGUUCAAUAAUUUCAAUAUAUUUAAAAUAAUAUUAAAAAUAUUAAAUGUUUGUUUAAUACAUGAUGAUAUAUAUAAAGCAGAAAAAAAUAAUUCAGUGAAUUGGGGGGUUAAGCUGUAUGCAGCCUUUCCAUUAUGUAAAAUGUGCUACAAUUUAUCAGCUGAAAUUUUAUGUGGGCUCUAAUAGCAAGAUUUUCAGAGGUUUUGAAUGCCUGUCUUGAGCUCCCAAAAACACCCCAAAUGCUUGAGCAUUGCUCAGGACUUUCUGGCAGGUAAGGAUCUUCAAAGUGCCUCAAACUGUGCAUCCAAAAAUACAUCCAAAGUACCUCCAAAAGUAAGACAUUUAAAAUCACAAAUCUUUGAAUUUGCUUUCUGAAAAGCAUUCAAAGCCUUUAAACUAGGUGCCUAGAGGUAGAUAAAAUAUUUUCUUUUAAAAAGCCUCAGAAAAUGAUGUAAAUUGAUUCAAAUGUAAUUAGUACCAGUUCAAAGUGUAUAUUGAUUUGUGCCAUACUGGUUUAGGUGGAAAGGUACAUAAAGGAAAUUAAUUCCUAAUCCCUGUUUGAGAUUGGUUUUUUCAAUUGCUUGGAGACAUCCACAUCUCCAGGCUCAGUUUGUUAUUUAAUGUCAAGUGGCAAGUCUGCACAUACAAUUGUGUUGUCAAUAUGAGUUAAAUUCCUAGGGACUAGGAUCUGCAAACUGAUUUUGAGUACAUAGAUCAAAUCUUGUGCAAAUGUCUUAUGCCUGAAAGGCUGUGCAAGAUAAGCAAGCUUAUCAUUUAAAUAUUAACGUCACACACUUUAUUUAUGCUGAUGAAAAUAUUAUUAUAUGAAUUGCAAAAUUCAUUAUCAUAAUCAAUCAUUAUUAAUUUGAUAUUUAGGGCUUGAAUGCUAAGAAUGUCUAGGUUAGAGAUAUUGUUUCAGUAGUGAGAAAUGCAAUUUUUCUAGAACUUUGAUACCAUUAAACUUUACAAUAUUCUCUAGGCUACAAAUACUUAAGGUGUAUGCUUCAAUCUGUAGGCAUCAUCUGUUCAAUUCUGGGAGGUCAAGUAAUUUUAAAACAUAACCCUGAGAAAUUUAACUCAGAGAUCAGUGGGAGACUUCCUUUGUUUUAUAAACAGUCACAUCAGUUACUGUAUGAUAGAACCUGGCACGCCAGAAAAACUGUUUGUUUGCCUCGAACUAGAAAGCAGACAUAUUCACACAGGCAGUGUUAAAUAGAAGCAUACACAGCAGCACGGUGUAAGCAUAUACAUAGCAACACCAAUGAUGUGUCUGUGAAACUUUUGCUUUUUCCUCAAACCACUUCCUCAUAUUCCAUUUUCUACCAGUAGUAGUGUUAUUGGCUGUGGUAGAUCUAUACAUUGAAAUUGUAAACUGUCAUGAAGUGUACCCCCUUCUGUUUGCUGGUUUGUUGGGUUUUUUGGUUAAGCAUCUUUCAGAAUCAAACACAUGCAUCUUUACUAAUCAAAACUUAGUGACUGUUGGAGGCUGCCCCUUUCUACACCUGGAGACCUCAAAAACUGUGCCAAUCAGAUCUUGCCUUUUUUCACUCGCUUUUGAUUGUGAGUCUACUUUUCAGUACAGUUUGAGUGCUACACUAAGGAUCUGAGUAUUGAUACUGCAGCUUUACUUCUGAUCUUUCUCUUCCAGCAGUUACAAACUCACAGGAAGGUAGCAUGUAUGCCUUCUCAUUUGUGGGUGGUAUCAGCAUGCCUAUGGAAUUCUGAUGGGGUAUUGUCAGAAUGCCAGAUCUUUGCCCAGCUGUGGAUUGAAUUGGCAGUUUCUUAGAAGUCUGUGCAAUGUGAAUAAAAUGAAGUAUAUUACAGCUGUCCUCAUCUUAAUACAGAGGAAUAAUCAGCAAAACUUGCAGCAAGUCUCAGCAUGUGAUAUCUCUGAUCAAGACUGAGUAUCAUAUGCUGAGAUAUGAGAUAGGCUGCAUCUUCCCAUUAGUAACAAACUUGGCUCAUACUGAAACAAAGACUAUGUGAUCUUGCAUUUACAGAAAGCAGAACAGGUAGUCAGGGGACUAGGAUACCGUUGUUCAUACAGCCACAGCCUUCUUGUCUGUGAAAACCUUUUGGUCAGCAGGUUUAGAUUUACAGCAACGAGAUUUAUAUCUUAGAUUUUGGAUGACCUAUUUCAGCAAUAAAAUGCCAAAUUCUAAAGCCAAGGCUUGGCUUUCUCAGACCAGAUAUUUCAGAGUGGAAGUAGCAAAAUAGUGUUCAUUUAAAGCAAAGAUCUUAGUUUUAUUCAUCAGUUUUCUCCUCUACCAAAAAAAAAAAAAAA